rnacentral:lncRNA from 1 species
UCAGCUCUUUUACUCAUUAGAUUUUUUUCCCUCCAAAAUAUAGCUGGAGAAACCAUUUUAUGCAAUGUAUCAUCUGUCUGUAAUUAUUCAGUAUUCUAUGUGGGCAAGAUAGAACUUCAUCCAAGAGAAGAAAGUAACACAUCACUAAAUAUAGAAGUAAUUAAUAACAAAACUGUUGACAAUCAAGUUUCAGGCUUUAUUCCAAUUCCAGCCUCAACCCUACAAGAACUGAGAAUAUCAGAGC